rnacentral:rRNA from 1 species
UACGUAGGGUGCAAGCGUUGUCCUGAAUUAUUGGGCGUAAAGAGCUCGUAGGCGGUCUGUCGCGUCUGCUGUGAAAACUCAGGGCUUAACCCUGAGCUUGCAGUGGGUACGGGCAGACUAGAGUGCGGUAGGGGAGACUGGAAUUCCUGGUGUAGCGGUGAAAUGCGCAGAUAUCAGGAGGAACACCGGUGGCGAAGGCGGGUCUCUGGGCCGUAACUGACGCUGAGGAGCGAAAGCAUGGGGAGCGAACAGG